rnacentral:lncRNA from 1 species
AACCCUCCCAGCCCUCUGAUCACUGCUGUUUCUGCAGGAAACCACACCCAGGCACUGCCGCACUGCAAAAACUGCAUGUCCAUAAUGGCAGACUCUGCUGCCUCAGAGGAGAGCGUCCCCUACUGCUCAGUACCAUUUUAGGUUCAGGUCCAAACCCUGGCAUCUUCUCCCUUCCUGUGAUCCUCUGCAUCAUUCUGGGAGCCCUUCUCUUCACGAUCCUCAUCAUCCUGGGGAUUCAGCUACACAGAUGGAGAGCAGAGCACCAAGAACUUCCAGGACAGAACAUCAACACCACAAGAAAUGGUUAUGAUGAUGUUGAUGAGUUACCUGUUCCCAUAAAUCCUUUCUUCCCUGGGAUGAAUGAGAAUUACUUUUCCCCAAAGGACAGAGGUGGUGCCAGGUAUUCCCAGACAGGCAUCUCUCUGAAGUCUCUGAGAGAAACUGUCAACUCUGGGGUGAAGGAGAAGGAGUCCUCAUUGAUCUUGAGACUAGAAGAGCCUGGAUAUGAUGAUGUUGAGCUUAGCACUAUGUAGUGCCAUUUUUGAAGCAAGAAACUCUUGAAAGACAUCCCUGUAAUGUUGUUUUUCAAAUAAAUGAGAAUCC